UACGAAGGGGGCUAGCGUUGCUCGGAAUCACUGGGCGUAAAGGGUGCGUAGGCGGGUCUUUAAGUCAGGGGUGAAAUCCUGGAGCUCAACUCCAGAACUGCCUUUGAUACUGAAGAUCUUGAGUUCGGGAGAGGUGAGUGGAACUGCGAGUGUAGAGGUGAAAUUCGUAGAUAUUCGCAAGAACACCAGUGGCGAAGGCGGCUUACUGGUCCGGUAUUGACGCUGAGGCGCGAAAGCUAGGGGAGCAAACGGGG
rnacentral:rRNA from 1 species